AAGUGGAAAACGAUGUGGGAAGGCAUAGACAGCUAGGAGGUUGGCUUAGAAGCAGCCACCCUUUAAAGAAAGCGUAAUAGCUCACUAGUCGAGUCGGCCUGCGCGGAAGAUGUAACGGGGCUAAAUCAUUCACCGAAGCUGCGGACUUGUGCUUGCACAAGUGGUAGAGGAGCGUUCUGUAAGCCUGUGAAGGUGACCCGGGAGGGUUGCUGGAGGUAUCAGAAGUGCGAAUGCUGACAUGAGUAACGAUAAGGGGAGUGAAAAACUUCCCCGCCGAAAGACCAAGGGUUCCUAUCCCAUGCUAAUCAGGGUAGGGUGAGUCGACCCCUAAGGCGAGGCUGAAAGGCGUAGUCGAUGGGAAACAGGUUAAUAUUCCUGUACCGACCAAUACUGCGAUGGGGGGACGGAGAAAGCUAGGCAAGCGCGGCGUUGGUAGUCCGCGUGAAAGUACGUAGGCAGAGAGAUUAGGUAAAUCCGGUUUCUUAUAUGCUGAGAUACGAGACGAGUUACUACGGUAACGAAGUUGCUAACGCUAUGCUUCCAGGAAAAGCCUCUAAGCUUCAGGUAUUGGAGAUCGUACCCUAAACCGACACAGGUGGUCAGGUAGAGCAUACCAAGGCGCUUGAGAGAACUCGGCUGAAGGAACUAGGCAAAAUAGUACCGUAACUUCGGGAGAAGGUACGCUCUUUGCUGUGAAGGACUUGCUCCGUAAGCAGCGAAGAGUCGCAGUGACCAGCUGGCUGCAACUGUUUAUUAAAAACACAGCACUCUGCAAACUCGUAAGAGGACGUAUAGGGUGUGACACCUGCCCGGUGCCGGAAGGUUAAUUGAUGGGGUUAGCGCAAGCGAAGCUCUUGAUCGAAGCCCCGGUAAACGGCGGCCGUAACUAUAACGGUCCUAAGGUAGCGAAAUUCCUUGUCGGGUAAGUUCCGACCUGCACGAAUGGUGUAAUGAUGGCCAGGCUGUCUCCAGCCGAGACUCAGUGAAAUUGAAAUUGCGGUGAAGAUGCCGUAUACCCGCGGCUAGACGGAAAGACCCCGUGAACCUUUACUAUAGCUUGGCACUGAACAUUGACCCUACAUGUGUAGGAUAGGUGGGAGGCUUUGAAGUUUGGACGCUAGUCCAGAUGGAGCCGUCCUUGAAAUACCACCCUUGUAUGUUUGAUGUUCUAACGUAGGUCCCUGAAUCGGGAUUGCGGACAGUGUCUGGUGGGUAGUUUGACUGGGGCGGUCUCCUCCUAAAGAGUAACGGAGGAGCACGAAGGUUGGCUAAGUACGGUCGGACAUCGUACGGUUAGUGUAAUGGUAGAAGCCAGCUUAACUGCGAGACAGACACGUCGAGCAGGUACGAAAGUAGGUCAUAGUGAUCCGGUGGUUCUGUAUGGAAGGGCCAUCGCUCAACGGAUAAAAGGUACUCCGGGGAUAACAGGCUGAUACCGCCCAAGAGUUCAUAUCGACGGCGGUGUUUGGCACCUCGAUGUCGGCUCAUCACAUCCUGGGGCUGAAGUCGGUCCCAAGGGUAUGGCUGUUCGCCAUUUAAAGUGGUACGCGAGCUGGGUUUAGAACGUCGUGAGACAGUUCGGUCCCUAUCUGCCGUGGGCGUUGGAUGAUUGAGUGGAGUUGCUCCUAGUACGAGAGGACCGGAGUGAACGAACCGCUGGUGUUCGGGUUGUCAUGCCAAUGGCAUUGCCCGGUAGCUACGUUCGGAACGGAUAACCGCUGAAAGCAUCUAAGCGGGAAGCCGGCCACAAGAUGAGUCAUCCCUCAGACUUUAAGUCUGCUAAAGGGUCGUUGGAGACCACAACGUUGAUAGGUGAGGUGUGGAAGCGCAGUGAUGUGUUAAGCUAACUCAUACUAAUUGCCCGAGAGGCUUAACCAU
rnacentral:rRNA from 1 species